AGUGAACGCUGGCGGUAGGCCUAACACAUGCAAGUCGAACGGCAGCACAGUAAGAGCUUGCUCUUACGGGUGGCGAGUGGCGGACGGGUGAGGAAUACAUCGGAAUCUACUUUUUCGUGGGGGAUAACGUAGGGAAACUUACGCUAAUACCGCAUACGACCUACGGGUGAAAGCAGGGGAUCUUCGGACCUUGCGCGAUUGAAUGAGCCGAUGUCGGAUUAGCUAGUUGGCGGGGUAAAGGCCCACCAAGGCGACGAUCCGUAGCUGGUCUGAGAGGAUGAUCAGCCACACUGGAACUGAGACACGGUCCAGACUCCUACGGGAGGCAGCAGUGGGGAAUAGUGGACAAUGGCGCAAGCCUGAUCCAGCCAUACCGCGUGGGUGAAGAAGGCCUUCGGGUUGUAAAGCCCUUUUGUUGGGAAAGAAAAGCAGCAGGUUAAUACCCCGCUGUUCUGACGGUACCCAAAGAAUAAGCACCGGCUAACUUCG
rnacentral:rRNA from 1 species